AUCUCUUCCGAGUUUCUGUUCUACCUCAUCUCUUAGGGUUUGGCCUUUCUUUCCCCUAAACCCUAGACCGUCGCCGCCCCCAUUCGUCCUUCUCCUCUUGGCAACCAAAAAUCCCCUCCUUCUCCUCUUGACAAACCCACACCCGUCUCGUCCUGCAAACUCUUCAAACCAAAAGUCUGACGAAGAUGAAAAAUCAUGUGAUGUGAAGAUGUUGUUGAUAGAGGCUAUUUCAAAGAAGAAGCGUAUGAAGUUCAAACUUCAUAACCUUCAUAUUCUGAAUCUGAAUCAAAUUCUUCAAGCACAAUUGGGUGGCUUCCAUGAGGUCCAGAAAUAUCGAGUUUAUAAGAACAGUCAUUUGGUUAUACAAACAUCGUAAGAAGUCACUGACGUACCUUAUGCAGAUUAUUUUGAAGUUGAGAUCAAAACGGUUUUGCUAUAUAACUAUCAGUGUUUUAUUUGAGAACUUGAUGGCUAUAAAAUGAGAUUUAAGUCUGGUCCAUGGUCAAAUUAACUUCCAGCUUGAGGCCAUCAGUUGAAUUGUUUGUUAAAUGUGAAGGGACUAUGGACUAGACCACUGCGACAACUUAAUUGCAGCCUAAUGCAUUAGCCUCUUUCAUUUUGGUGUUUGUGGAGGAUAACUUUCAGCUUAAUUGAAGUAUCAUUUAUGACAUGAAUAGAGAGGCUGUUACUAGAGUUGAAACAUGAAAUCAAGGGAACAUCAGCAAACAAUUCUAUGAGCCAAAUUGAAUAAACUUUUCAACAAAAACUCAAAAAAUUAAAGUUGAAAUGAUGGUCUUAAAUAAGAUAUAGGCCUGUUGGAAUAAGCUUUUCAACAAACACUGUAGUACACUUAUAAAACAGUUUGCAUCUUUUCUCUGAUAAUUAUGAUUGUAGUACACCUGGAAAAUUAAUUUGCACCUUUUCUUGUUCUUUCGUAGAACAGCCAGUUCCCAUGUCUUGUUUCUUUCAAUGGCCUCAAGUUCUUUCUUCAUGGUUUUCACCCAUAUUUUAUUCUUGAGAGUCUCAUGAACGCUGACUAGUUCAACAUCCACCAUCAUGGUACAUUGUAUGACUUCUCCUUUAGAAUCAAUCUCAGUUUCAUGCAAUAAUUCAAAAUUUGCGAGUCUCCUUGGUAUCUGUCUAAUUCUUUGUGGUCUCUGGAACUACGCAAGUUCACCUUUAGAGCUAGGUACACCUUCACAAGUUCCACCUUCAGGGGCUUGAUCACCUUCAGAGGUUAAAUUACCACCAGAGACUGGAUUACCAUCAGAUGCCGGACCACCAUAAAAGACUGAACUACCAUAAGAGUCUGAGUCACCUUCAGACUCAGAAUCUCCGUCAGAGUCUUCUUUAGAGGCAAAAUCUUCUUUAUAGGCAGAUUCUCCUUCAGAGGCAUCUUCCGAAACACCUUCAGCUCCAGAAGCAGGAUCAAACUUAUUCCAAUUCCAUGUUUCUGAUUCUUUCAUUAUCACAUUUCUACUUACAUCAACUCUAUUAGUGAGUUUAUAGGCACUUGUAGAGUAGUAACCUAUAAGUAAUAUGACAUUACUUCUGUAAUCUAAUUUCCUUCUAGUAGCAUUUGAUACAUGUUUGUAAC